rnacentral:lncRNA from 1 species
GAGUUGGGGAAGGUGAAUCUCCGCCUUCAUGGGAUCCGGUAUCAACUCCAAAAGGUACACUAGAAUAUUUAGCUUCUUUAUGACAUGUUAAUAAUAUUUAGCUUCUUUAUGACUAUAAAAUUAUAUGCUUCAGUUCUACAAUGAGUCUAUCACUGCGAGAUCACAUUAGAAAGAGGAGGGAGGAGGAAGACGAUGACAUGAUGCUAUUUAUUUUCCCUGGCUUAUAUCUUAUGAGUUCUAUUAGAGGGGGAGAAAGGAGGAAAACUUGAUGUUUUUCUUCUAUUUGACUACAAGAGUCCUUUAGUCACUGCAAAACUUUGAGUUCUCUAGGCUUGGUCAGUCACAUAUGUGACUCCCCAACUUGCAUGUUUGGUUAAUGUCUAUAAAAAAUGUUAUUUGAAGUGAUGGUUAUACUUUAGGUUUAUGCAUGCUUGUCUCUUCUCAGUUACGUUGUUAUUUGGUUAUUAACAAACCGGUAACAUUGUUGUUAUGGAAGCCAGUUAUCGAGAAGUAGUAGUGAUUGCAGUAGUAAAGCUACUUCAUAUAUGCUAUCCAAAAGUUGUUGGCAUAUCCCUUGCAUUCCUAAUUCUUAUGAGUAAUAGUGUAACUAAGGGAGAAAAACCAUUAUGCUUUGGUUGAUUACAUAGUGAGCAAUUUUUGUUCAAUUAUUCAAUAAUUUGUAUAAAAGAAAGCUUCUUGUUAUUUUCAGGGAGGAGGCAAUGAUCAAGAAACAUUGGAUUGGACAAAGUGCCUGGACAUAUGAGUAGGCUUAGAUGAGUUAUCACCUGGUUAAUUUAUGCUUUGGAUUUGAAAAGAUUGUAAUUCAUGACUGGAUUAUGAUAGUCUUUUGGUGCACCUUUUGUCAAUUUUGGCAGUAGCUAGCAUGUCUUUAUAUGCGGUUGCACAUUAUCUGUGAUACUCUUUGUUGCCCAUUAUCUCUACAUGCAUGAUGAGAGACUUGCUGAUAAAGAACUCUAGAACAUUGAAGAUUUAUUUAUUUGUGCACUUUUGUGAUCGUUUGUGUUAUCUACCUAUAAUUUGAAUUGUUUCAAGCUUAUCAUAGUCUAUUAUGGC